GUGUCAGCCGCCGCGGUAAUACGAAGGGUGCAAACGUUGCUCGGAAUCAUUGGGCGUAAAGCGCACGUAGGCGGCCCCGCAAGUCGGACGUGAAAUCCCUCAGCUCAACUGAGGACGUGCAUCCGAAACUGCAGGGCUUGAGUACUGAAGAGGAUCGCGGAAUUCCCGGUGUAGAGGUGAAAUUCGUAGAUAUCGGGAGGAACACCAGUGGCGAAGGCGGCGAUCUGGGCAGAUACUGACGCUGAGGUGCGAAAGCGUGGGGAGCAAACAGGAUUAGAAACCCGCGUAGUCC
rnacentral:rRNA from 1 species